UCUCCGUAGGUGAACCAGCGGAGGGAUCAUUACCGAAUUUACAACUCCCACACCCAAUGUGAACUAUACCUGUCUACCGUUGCUUCGGCGGCUUCUCCUGCCGAACGACCGACAAAUAAACUCUUGUGUUUCUUUCUUUAGCAUGUCUGAGUGGAAUCAUAAACAAAUGAAUCAAAACUUUCAACAACGGAUCUCUUGGUUCUG
rnacentral:misc_RNA from 1 species